AUUGAACGCUGGCGGCAGGCUUAACACAUGCAAGUCGAGCGGAGAGAGGUAGCUUGCUACCGAUCUUAGCGGCGGACGGGUGAGUAAUGCUUAGGAAUCUGCCUAUUAGCGGGGGACAACAUUUCGAAAGGAAUGCUAAUACCGCAUACGUCCUACGGGAGAAAGCAGGGGAUCUUCGGACCUUGCGCUAAUAGAUGAGCCUAAGUCGGAUUAGCUAGUUGGUGGGGUAAAGGCCUACCAAGGCGACGAUCUGUAGCGGGUCUGGGAGGAUGAUCCGCCACACUGGGACUGAGACACGGCCCAGACUCCUACGGGAGGCAGCAGUGGGGAAUAUUGGACAAUGGGCGGAAGCCUGAUCCAGCCAUGCCGCGUGUGUGAAGAAGGCCUUUUGGUUGUAAAGCACUUUAAGCGAGGAGGAGGCUACCUGGAUUAAUACUCUAGGAUAGUGGACGUUACUCGCAGAAUAAGCACCGGCUAACUCUGUGCCAGCAGCCGCGGUAACAC
rnacentral:rRNA from 1 species